GGAGAGUAAAGCAGCGGGGAGUCCCGCGACCGGCCUUGAAAGCCGGGUAGCCGUAAUGGAGCUUGGGGAUCAAGACCUCUGCUCUCCAC
rnacentral:tRNA from 2 species